rnacentral:rRNA from 1 species
GAUGAACGCUGGCGGCGUGCCUAAUACAUGCAAGUCGAGCGAACGGACGAGAAGCUUGCUUCUCUGAUGUUAGCGGCGGACGGGGGAGUAAAACGUGGAUAACCUACCUAUAAGACUGGGAUAACUUCGGGAAACCGGAGCUAAAACCGGAUAAUAUUUUGAACCGCAUGGUUCAAAAGUGAAAGACGGGCUUGCUGUCACUUAUAGAUGGAUCCGCGCUGCAUUAGCUAGUUGGUAAGGUAACGGCUUACCAAGGCAACGAUGCAUAGCCGACCUGAGAGGGUGAUCGGCCACACUGGAACUGAGACACGGUCCAGACUCCUACGGGAGGCAGCAGUAGGGAAUCUUCCGCAAUGGGCGAAAGCCUGACGGAGCAACGCCGCGUGAGUGAUGAAGGUCUUCGGAUCGUAAAACUCUGUUAUUAGGGAAGAACAUAUGUGUAAGUAACUGUGCACAUCUUGACGGUACCUAAUCAGAAAGCCACGGCUAACUACGUG